AUGAGACUCGCAGGACAGUUCCCUUUCUCCCAGAUCCAUUUUAUCUCAGAUAAGAGCAGCAGACACCAGCAUAAGAGGAGAGCCCUGCCACCAUCCAUAUUGCUGCUGUCAGAUUCAAACCUGUACCCAGGAUGAUGGUUGCAGACUUCGCUGGUACUGCCACAGCACCUUCAAUGCAGGUUGAUGCCAAAGGUGACAGCCCAGAGCUCAGCACAGACUCUUUUAGCCACUUUCUUGGAUAAGUUUUGCAGCUCAAUUUAUCAUGCUGUUGUGGGAC
rnacentral:lncRNA from 1 species